rnacentral:rRNA from 1 species
AUUGAACGCUGGCGGAAUGCUUUACACGUGCAAGUCGAACGGUAGAGGGGGCAACCCCUCGAGAGAGGCGAACGGGUGAGUAAUAUAUCGGAACGUGCCCAGUCGUGGGGGAUAACGUAGCGAAAGUUACGCUAAUACCGCAUACGAUCUAAGGAUGAAAGCGGGGGAUCGCAAGACCUCGCGCGAUUGGAGCGGCCGAUAUCAGAUUAGGUAGUUGGUGGGGUAAAGGCUCACCAAGCCAACGAUCUGUAGCUGGUCUGAGAGGACGACCAGCCACACUGGAACUGAGACACGGUCCAGACUCCUACGGGAGGCAGCAGUGGGGAAUUUUGGACAAUGGACGCAAGUCUGAUCCAGCCAUUCCGCGUGCAGGAUGAAGGCCCUCGGGUUGUAAACUGCUUUUGUACGGAACGAAAAGGUCUCUCUUAAUACGGGGGGCUCAUGACGGUACCGUAAGAAUAAGCACCGGCUAACUACGUGCCAGCAGCCGCCGUAA